rnacentral:rRNA from 1 species
UUUGGGACCGGGCGUGGAAGCUUUAGAAUUCAUACUUCUAAGAGAAUUUCCCAAUAUUAGUUGAUUUUUAUAGCAACAAGCGUCUGUCUUAGUUUUCAAGAGAUGUAUUUGGAAAUUCUUGAGAGGAAGAAAUAUCCUAUGGGAGUAGGAAAAAUUAUGAAGAAGGUCUAGUGAAAAUCGUGCCAGCAGCUGCGGUUAUACGAUUGGGCUGUUUGUAGAGUUAGUUAAAGCUUAAAGAGAAACCGUAAGAGGUGAAAUUCGUAGUGGGGUUGUAUUAAGGUGAGAGGGCUGAGGAACUAAGCAGAUUAGAUACCUGUGUAGUCUUAAUGAUAGUUAAUAUAGGAGGAAUAUUUAAAUAAUGUGGCGGUGCAUUCGAAAGGCAGGGGUACUUGGAGUAGGAUAAUAAACCUAAUAGAAGGCCAAGUUGUAGCUUCUUGUGUGAUUGUUUUGGCUUAUUUUGGGGCUUUAAACAAAUGAUACAGGGGUUACUUGGUUUAUAAGCUGAGUUUUUUGUGUAAUUUGAGUAAAGGAUUUGCGAGUAACUGAGAAGAAGUGAAUUUAUCGGGUGCAAGUACAUAUCGCCCGUCAACACCCUCAGGGUGUAAGUCGUAACAUAGUGAUUCUACUUGAAAGUGGAGUUA